rnacentral:lncRNA from 1 species
GGCAGGCGCAGCAGAGCGACCAGUGAAGGGAAAGUUCAAUAGCGGCAGUUACAGGAACUCCAUCGGGGGCGGUAGCAGUUACGGGAAGUUCAAAUGGAGCAACACGAUUCUCAACCACAACAACAUCACUUUCAACCUGUCGAAGAACAGAAAGGCGUCGCUGAACAGCUAGAAGCAAAGAGUUGAUGCGGUGACUCUCGGUAGCAGCAAGAGCACGAGCCUCCUCUCCAUGAAGGAUGAGAUUUUCAGACCAAGCAGCCUGUUGGUGCACCAACUCACGACCAAGCUCCUCCAAAACAGAAAGUAUAGACAUGAUGAAUUCGCAGAAAUAACUGAAGAAAAGAAGGAACAAAGUAUUUAUAGAUCGAAGGAGAAGGAGGGAAUACUGAUGAUACCCCUAGUCCAUCAGCCCAGGCCCAUUCGAGAAAUCAGGACUGAUAGGCCCAGUAAAGCGAAUAAGGGGGGAAACCCAAGCUGUCCGACGGGUUUUAGUCCGGGCGGGUCGACCGGGCCAGACAGUUACAUCCCAAAUAAUCGCAUCCCAAACUUAUCGGAUCCGUCAGGUCGGAUCUAGGUCCAAGAACAUAAGACCCGAACUAGUAGAAAACUGUAUAAAUACCCCUAGGGUUGAAGUGUAAAGGGGGGGGGGAAUAUAUUUCAUACUUGUAAGAUUGUUGUAUACACUAUACUAAUACCAUCAGAAACAAACAACUAUGAGAUCGCAAGAAGACAGAAUGUGAAUCUUGAAAUCGCAAGAAUCUGAUCGUUGGAAUGACACUCGCAAGAAUCUUGAAAUCGCAAGAAGACGGAAGUCUGAAAUCAAAACAGAUCAGGAUUUCACAAGUCUCAAAUCUCCAAGUCACUAGUCGGCUAGAAAAGAAAGAAAUGCAACUACCAAGUUGCAAAACUCAAAUCGCAAAAAGCAAGUCGGUCAAGAAAAAAAUCGCAAAACGCAAAUCUCCAGAUCGCACUUGAAGUAAGAUCGCAAAUCGGAAGUCUUGAAGUCGUCGAUUUGUUGGGCGUGCUUCACAGAUCGAGCUUGUCGGAUCGGUUUAUUGGACGGAUUUC